GAUGAACGCUGGCGGCGUGCCUAAUACAUGCCAGUCGAGCGAACAGACGAGGAGCUUGCUCCUCUGACGUUAGCGGCGGACGGGUGAGUAACACGUGGAUAACCUACCUAUAAGACUGGGAUAACUUCGGGAAACCGGAGCUAAUACCGGAUAAUAUAUUGAACCGCAUGGUUCAAUAGUGAAAGACGGUUUUGCUGUCACUUAUAGAUGGAUCCGCGCCGCAUUAGCUAGUUGGUAAGGUAACGGCUUACCAAGGCAACGAUGCGUAGCCGACCUGAGAGGGUGAUCGGCCACACUGGAACUGAGACACGGUCCAGACUCCUACGGGAGGCAGCAGUAGGGAAUCUUCCGCAAUGGGCGAAAGCCUGACGGAGCAACGCCGCGUGAGUGAUGAAAGUCUUCGGAUCGUAAAACUCUGUUAUUAGGGAAGAACAAAUGUGUAAGUAACUAUGCACGUCUUGACGGUACCUAAUCAGAAAGCCACGGCUAACUACGUG
rnacentral:rRNA from 1 species